rnacentral:rRNA from 1 species
AUGGCUACUGAAAUUACUGUUGGAGAUGGACAAUCAAUCAACUUCUGGCAGCACCACUGGCUGCAAGGUUGCUGCCCAAUGACUAUUGCCCCAUUGCUCUUUUCAAUCUCGGCAAAGAAAAAUAGAUCAGUAUCUGACGCGUUACAUGAGGAGACGUGGAUCAAGGACCUGGCUCAAGGUCUCUCCAGCGACAUGGUUCCUGAACUCACCAACCUGGCCGCGUUGAUUGAUAGCGUUGGGCUCGUUGCGGGCCAGCCGGAUGCCAUUGCUUGGAGAUUUUCUCAAGACAAAGAGUAUAGUGCAUGCUCGGCCUACCGGCUCCAAUUCGAAGGCUCGGUAACUAUGGAGGGAUACAAGCUCAUUUGGUCCGGUUGGGCCCCCGGUAAAUGCCUCUUCUUCAUCUAG